rnacentral:rRNA from 1 species
UGGGGAAUCUUGGACAAUGGGCGCAAGCCUGAUCCAGCCAUGCCGCGUGAGUGACGAAGGCCUUAGGGUUGUAAAACUCUUUCGUCGGGGACGAUAAUGACGGUACCCGAAGAAGAAGCUCCGGCUAACUUCGUGCCAGCAGCCGCGGUAAUACGAAGGGAGCUAGCGUUGUUCGGAAUCACUGGGCGUAAAGCGCACGUAGGCGGAUAGUUAAGUCAGGGGUGAAAUCCUGGGGCUCAACCCCAGAACUGCCUUUGAUACUGGCUGUCUCGAGGUCGAGAGAGGUUGGUGGAAUUCCUAGUGUAGAGGUGAAAUUCGUAGAUAUUAGGAAGAACACCAGUGGCGAAGGCGGCCAACUGGCUCGAUACUGACGCUGAGGUGCGAAAGCGUGGGGAGCAAACAGGAUUAGAUACCCCAGUAGUCCCUGAGCGGGCUGGCAAGGCGCAU